GACAGAGGGUGCAAACGUUGUUCGGAAUUACUGGGCGUAAAGCGCGUGUAGGCUGCUUCGCAAGUCGGAUGUGAAAGCCCUGGGCUCAACCCAGGAAGUGCAUUCGAAACUGCAGAGCUGGAGUCCUGGAGAGGAAGGCGGAAUUCUCGGUGUAGAGGUGAAAUUCGUAGAUAUCGGGAGGAACACCGGUGGCGAAGGCGGCGACCUGGGUCGAUACUGACGCUGAUGCGCGAAAGCGUGGGGAGCAACAGG
rnacentral:rRNA from 1 species